rnacentral:rRNA from 1 species
UACAGAGGAGCCAAGCGUUGUCCGGAUUGACUGGGCGUAAAGCGCACGCAGGCGGACGCGCGCGUGGGGUGUGAAAUCUGGCCGCUUAACGGCCAGGGGCCAUCCCAUACGGCGGGUCUGGAGCGAUGCAGAGGUCGGUGGAAUUCCCGGUGUAGCGGUGAAAUGCGCAGAUAUCGGGAAGAACACCGGUGGCGAAGGCGGCUCUCUGGACCUGUCCUGACGCUCAGGCGCGAAAGCUAGGGGAGCGAACAGG